rnacentral:rRNA from 1 species
ACGAACGCUGGCGGCGUGCUUAACACAUGCAAGUCGAACGGAAAGGCCUCUUUCGGGGGGUACUCGAGUGGCGAACGGGUGAGUAACACGUGAGUAACCUGCCCUUGACUUUGGGAUAACUUCAGGAAACUGGGGCUAAUACCGGAUAGGAGCUCCUGCUGCAUGGUGGGGGUUGGAGAGUUUCGGCGGUUGGGGAUGGACUCGCGGCUUAUCAGCUUGUUGGUGGGGUAGUGGCUUACCAAGGCUUUGACGGGUAGCCGGCCUGAGAGGGUGACCGGCCACAUUGGGACUGAGAUACGGCCCAGACUCCUACGGGAGGCAGCAGUGGGGAAUAUUGCACAAUGGGUGGAAGCCUGAUGCAGCAACGCCGUGUGCGGGAUGACGGCCUUCGGGUUGUAAACCGCUUUCGCUCAUGACGAAGCUUUGUGUGACGGUAGUGGGUAAAGAAGCACCGGCUAACUACGUG